AGACACACAGACACGUGCUGUGAUUUACUAUCCUACUAAAUCACUGGGGUGGCCUAAUUUCCAAUGGAUUCCAGUUUCCCCUGGACAUAUCAACAUUGAUCAGCUUCACGUUGGGAUGUGCCAGGCGACACUUAGCUUGACACUGAGGCAUGGCUUGCAUUGUAGGGGUACAAGGAUAGGAUUUGUGCACAGGCAGCAUUUCCUUUCAAAGCCGCGCUCACUGUCAAGGCUUUCAGAUACAAAUCCUUGUCUCGGAGUACUGUAAUAACAUCUGAAAAUGUCAGAAUCAUAGCCACUGAGAUUGGGAUCAGACAGGUGAAUCAAGAUUUAAGAUAUUGUUAUUCUGAUCCUAUCUCCGCACAACACUCCCAUGUUGCUUUGAAUACAAUUAAAUGUCAUUCCAGCUUGAAAAACAAGCACUCGGAUAUUAAACUGGAGUAUAAUUGGUGGUCAUUUUACUAUUUUUCAGCACUGCAUUUGAAUGUGCAGCUCAGCUUGCCUUUAGAGGAGUGUCCACUCCAUGUGGCCCGCAGAGAAGUUGCAAAGCUCUGCGCAGGCUGCUGGAACUGCGAGACUAGAGAGGCGGAAGCAAAGCAACAGAGAAGAGGCAGUGUGUGAUGAAAGCUCUUUGAUUGACUGGUGAUCACUUCGGAGUCUACCCUCCCCAAAGUCAGCUGGGAUACGCUCCAGCUCACCUAUGACCCUGAACAGGAUAAGUGGUAGAAAAAUGGAUGGAUGGACCAACACCUUUCCAUCAAGUGACUGAAAGCAUCAUUAUGAUUAUUAUUGUGUUUUUAAAUGUCAGAUGAGACUACACUGAAACAUGAAUGUUGUCUGGGAGCCUCUCUAGACGUCAUUUUAGACUUUACAAACAUCACAUAGUGUGGAACAAGCCAUUUUGAUAACGUAUCCCAUUUUACCAGCCCCUCCUUUGUCUCUCUUCAUUACACAAGCCGUGUCUUAAUAAAAUGCAAUUAUUUCCGCUCACAGGAUGCUUUCUAGUGAGAAAAUGGCAGAGGGAUGUGAACUGAUGUAUGGGGAGACGGUUGCCUAAUUAGAGCGUUA